rnacentral:rRNA from 1 species
GGCUUCAAGCGUUGUCCGGAAUUAUUGGGCGUAAAGAGCUCGUAGGUGGUUUGUUACGUCGGUUGUGAAAUUCAGGGGCUCAACCCCUGACUUGCAGCCGAUACGGGCAAGCUAGAGUUUGGUAGGGGAGACUGGAAUUCCUGGUGUAGCGGUGGAAUGCGCAGAUAUACGGAGGAACACCAAUGGCGAAGGCAGGUCUCUGGGCCAAUACGUACACAUUGGAGCGAAAGCGUGGGGAGCAAACAGGAUUAGAUACCCUGGUAGUCCAUGCCGUAAACGGUGGGCACUAGUUGUGGGAACCUUCCACGGUUUCUGCUGACGCUUAACGCAUUAAGUGCCCCGCCUGGGGAGUACGAUCGCAAGAUUAAAACUCAAAGGAAUUGACGGGGCCCCGCACAAGCAGCGGAGC